ACAGCAGCAGCCGCAGUAAUACGUAGGGUGCAAGCGUUAAUCGGAAUUACUGGGCGUAAAGCGUGCGCAGGCGGUUAUAUAAGACAGAUGUGAAAUCCCCGGGCUCAACCUGGGAACUGCAUUUGUGACUGUAUAGCUAGAGUACGGCAGAGGGGGAUGGAAUUCCGCGUGUAGCAGUGAAAUGCGUAGAUAUGCGGAGGAACACCGAUGGCGAAGGCAAUCCCCUGGGCCUGUACUGACGCUCAUGCACGAAAGCGUGGGGAGCAAACAGGAUUAGAUACCCGCGUAGUCCCUGUCUCUUAUAC
rnacentral:rRNA from 1 species